GAGGCAGGGGCGAGGGGCUGCUGGGGGAGCCGGGCGGAGACUGCGGCUUUUGCUUUCGCUUUCCCUGUUUCCCCUCCCU
rnacentral:pre_miRNA from 1 species